GACUUCCUGUUGACCGCUCAGAGACUUCCUGUUGGCCACUCAGGGACUUCCUAUUGACCACCCAGGGACUUCCUAUUGACCACUCAGGGACUUCCCAUUUGUUGUUGGAGGCCUGUUCUGAGCUGGGAGCUUGGUGUGGGCUCCAGGUUCACCAAGGAGCUGGGGAGGUGGAAGAAGACAGAAGACGGCAGGGAAGUGCCAGCACAGGCCUGACCCGGGCCCGGGGCCCGGGAGGGGUCUGUUCUCUGGGCAGUGUCCCACACCCGCCAUCUCCCCUAGCACAAAAUCUACAGCCAGAGGCAAGUCCUUUGUGGCACAAGUUCCAGCCCCACUCAGGACUCUGCUGCAGAACCGAGCCUCUCACAUGCCUGCUCUCGGGUGCAGGCGAGGACCACAGGCUCCUAGGAUCUGGGAAUUUGGGAUGGGGCUUUCACACCGCCACUGUGGCUAUCAGGCUGCCUGAGUGAGGAUCCACCUCAGGGCCAUCUCACACUUGUCACGUGUGGUCUCAGGCCAUCUCUGCUGACUUCUUUUCUCUUCCCCUCCUCAUCAGGGACUGCCAGGGCCCAAAGGGGAACGAGGAGAGAAGGGCGAGCCGCAGUCCCUUGCCACCCUCUACCAGCUUGUGAGCCAGGCCUGUGAGUCUGCCAUUCAGACACACGUGUCAAAGUUCGACUCCUUCCACGAGAACACCAGGCCCCCCAUGCCCAUCUUGGAGCAGAAGCUGGAGCCGGGCACUGAGCCCCUGGGGUCCCCUGGCACCCGCAGCAAGGCCCUGGUUCCUGGAGAAUGGGGGCGUGGUGGCCGCCACCUUGAGGGCAGAG
rnacentral:lncRNA from 1 species